rnacentral:rRNA from 1 species
UUGGGCAGCUGGGCUAACUGCAGUAGACGCUGAAGGAGGAGCUUGCUUCUCUGGAUGAGUUGCGAACGGGUGAGUAACGCGUAGGUAACCUGCCUGGUAGCGGGGGAUAACUAUUGGAAACGAUAGCUAAUACCGCAUAAUAGCAGUUGUUGCAUGACAGCUGUUUGAAAGGUGCAAUUGCACCACUACCAGAUGGACCUGCGUUGUAUUAGCUAGUUGGUGGGGUAACGGCUCACCAAGGCGACGAUACAUAGCCGACCUGAGAGGGUGAUCGGCCACACUGGGACUGAGACACGGCCCAGACUCCUACGGGAGGCAGCAGUAGGGAAUCUUCGGCAAUGGACGGAAGUCUGACCGAGCAACGCCGCGUGAGUGAAGAAGGUUUUCGGAUCGUAAAGCUCUGUUGUAAGGGAAGAACGAGUGUGAGAGUGGAAAGUUCACACUGUGACGGUAUCUUACCAGAAAGGGACGGCUAACUACGUGCCAGCAGCCGCGGUAAUACGUAGGUCCCGAGCGUUGUCCGGAUUUAUUGGGCGUAAAGCGAGCGCAGGCGGUUAGAUAAGUCUGAAGUUAAAGGCUGUGGCUUAACCAUAGUACGCUUUGGAAACUGUUUAACUUGAGUGCAAGAGGGGAGAGUGGAAUUCCAUGUGUAGCGGUGAAAUGCGUAGAUAUAUGGAGGAACACCGGUGGCGAAAGCGGCUCUCUGGCUUGUAACUGACGCUGAGGCUCGAAAGCGUGUGGAGCAAACAGGAUUAGAUACCCUGGUAGUCCACGCCGUAAACGAUGAGUGCUAGGUGUUAGACCCUUUCCGGGGUUUAGUGCCGCAGCUAACGCAUUAAGCACUCCGCCU